rnacentral:rRNA from 1 species
AUUGAACGCUGGCGGCAGGCUUAACACAUGCAAGUCGAGCGAGCGGCGGACGGGUGAGUAAUGUCUGGGAAACUGCCUGAUGGAGGGGGAUAACUACUGGAAACGGUAGCUAAUACCGCAUACCAUCAGAUGUGCCCAGAUGGGAUUAGCUAGUAGGUGGGGUAACGGCUCACCUAGGCGACGAUCCCUAGCUGGUCUGAGAGGCUGACCACCCACACUGGAACGGAGACACGUUCCAGACUCCUAGGGGGGGCAGAAGUGGGGAAUAUUGCACAAUGGGCGCAAGCCUGAUGAAGCCAUGCCGCGUGUGUGAAGAGGGCCUUCGGGUUGUAAAGCACUUUCAGCGAGGAGGCGUUACUCGCAGAAGAAGCACCGGCUAACUCCGUGCCAGCAGCCGCGGUAAUUC